CGAGUCAUUGUAGUAAUACAAGGCAGACGGCUCAGUAACGCGUACUCACCUAACCUAUGGACGGGAAUAACCUCGGGAAACUGAGCAUAAUGCCCGAUAGAACAUUAUGCCUGGAAUGGUUUAUGUUCCAAAUGAUUUAUCGCCGUAGGAUGGGACUGCGGCCUAUCAGUUUGUUGGUGAGGUAAUGGCCCACCAAGACUAUUACAGGUACGGGCUCUGAGAGGAGUAGCCCGGAGAUGGGUACUGAGACACGGACCCAGGCCCUAUGGGGCGCAGCAGGCGAGAAAACUUUGCAAUGUGCGAAAGCACGACAAGGUUAAUCCGAGUGGUUUCUGCUAAAGGAACCUUUUGUCGGUCCUAGAAACACUGAUGAAUAAGGGGUGGGCUAGUUCUGGUGUCAGCCGCCGCGGUAAAACCAGCACCUCAAGUGGUCAGGAUGAUUAUUGGGCCUAAAGUAUCCGUAGCCGGCUUUGUUAGUUUUCGGUUAAAUCUGUACGCUCAACGUACAGACUG
rnacentral:rRNA from 1 species